rnacentral:rRNA from 1 species
AGCGAACGCUGGCGGCAGGCCUAACACAUGCAAGUCGAACGAAGUCUUCGGACUUAGUGGCGGACGGGUGAGUAACACGUGGGAACGUGCCUUUAGGUUCGGAAUAACUCAGGGAAACUUGUGCUAAUACCGAAUGUGCCCUUCGGGGGAAAGAUUUAUCGCCUUUAGAGCGGCCCGCGUCUGAUUAGCUAGUUGGUGAGGUAAAGGCUCACCAAGGCGACGAUCAGUAGCUGGUCUGAGAGGAUGAUCAGCCACAUUGGGACUGAGACACGGCCCAAACUCCUACGGGAGGCAGCAGUGGGGAAUCUUGCGCAAUGGGCGAAAGCAUGACGCAGCCAUGCCGCGUGAAUGAUGAAGGUCUUAGGAUUGUAAAAUUCUUUCACCGGGGACGAUAAUGACGGUACCCGGAGAAGAAGCCCCGGCUAACUUCGUGCCAGCCGCCGCAGUAA